rnacentral:rRNA from 1 species
ACUCCUGCGGGAGGCAGCAGUGGGGAAUUUUGGACAAUGGGCGAAAGCCUGAUCCAGCAAUGCCGCGUGAGUGAAGAAGGCCUUCGGGUUGUAAAGCUCUUUUGUCAGGGAAGAAACGGUGAAAGCUAAUAUCUUUUGCUAAUGACGGUACCUGAAGAAUAAGCACCGGCUAACUACGUGCCAGCAGCCGCGGUAAUACGUAGGGUGCAAGCGUUAAUCGGAAUUACUGGGCGUAAAGCGUGCGCAGGCGGUUUUGUAAGUCUGAUGUGAAAUCCCCGGGCUCAACCUGGGAAUUGUAUUGGAGACUGCAAGGCUAGAAUCUGGCAGAGGGGGGUAGAAUUCCACGUGUAGCAGUGAAAUGCGUAGAUAUGUGGAGGAACACCGAUGGCGAAGGCAGCCCCCUGGGUCAAGAUUGACGCUCAUGCACGAAAGCGUGGGGAGCAAACAGGAUUAGAAACCCGAGUAGUCCCAUG